rnacentral:tmRNA from 1 species
GGGGGCGUAAAGGCUUCGACGGGGAUUUUGAAGUAUGGCAAGCGAGCAGAGGAAUCGGACCUCUAUAAAACCGAUAAUUGUGUUUAAAUAUAAACGCUAACAAUAAUUACGAACUUCAGGCUGCCUAAGUCAGCCUGCGUCUGACCGCUGAGUACCACGGCUGCGGCUCAGGCGUCGAUUAGUGGUGAACGACCGCAGGGAACGCUCUCGCCCUGCGGCUGUAUUGAGGGCUACCAAGCCUUGAAGCCUGUCUUUUGGCGUUAAGGCAAGGGAAUUUUAAACAAAAGACUGCGCUCGGAGAAAACUGUAUGGAUAGGUUUUCGGACAGGGGUUCAAUUCCCCUCGCCUCCACCA